AUCCCUUCGCAGUGGCAGUAUCGUAGCCUAUGAGGUCAAUCCGAGGCGUGAUUAUUGCUAGUUGAAAACUUUAACUAAUUCCUUUGACGACCUGGAAAUAUAGUCGGCAAUGGCACUUUGAUGGUCUCUAUGGAGA